UGGGGAAUCUUGCGCAAUGGGCGAAAGCCUGACGCAGCGACGCCGCGUGGGGGAUGAAGGCCUUUCAGGUUGUAAACCCCUUUCGGCAGGGACGAAGCGAUCUCGUGACGGUACCUGCAGAAGAAGCCUCGGCUAACUACGUGCCAGCAGCCGCGGUAACACGUAGGAGGCGAGCGUUGUCCGGAAUCAUUGGGCGUAAAGAGCGCGCAGGCGGCUUGGCAAGUCGGGUGUGAAAUCCCGGGGCUCAACCCCGGGACUGCAUUCGAUACUGUCAGGCUAGAGGUAGGUAGGGGAGAUCGGAAUUCCUGGUGUAGCGGUGAAAUGCGCAGAUAUCAGGAGGAACACCGGUGGCGAAGGCGGAUCUCUGGGCCUUACCUGACGCUCAGGCGCGAAAGCUAGGGGAGCGAACAGG
rnacentral:rRNA from 1 species